UACAUGAAAGGACGGUGAAGUGAUGCUGCUCGCCAUCAUCCUCUCUCCUUCCUUGACUCGGUCCUUUUUUCUUCCUCGCAUUAGGGUUUGAUAUCAGAUUUGCGUUUCGAUGCCUCACUGCUCCCAGCUUUGGAUCCUCUUCAGUGGAUUUGAGCUUGCGAUAAUGGAUGCCUCGCUUUCUGCUGCUGGCAGAUGUGCUUGUUUGACAACGAGAGAGAGCACGCCGGUCCACGAUCAUACCUGCGGCCAUGGCUGUGUGUACCAGCGUGCUUUUUCUCGUUGUCAACUGGCUGGUGCCUUUCGUCGGGAUCGACCACCUUCUUGACCCUGGCUGACGGUUUGUUUCAUUGUUGCUUUCACCUUUGGUUCUCAAGUUUUCCUUAGAGUUUGUUUUUGGUCGCGGGUCAAUAUUCUUUGUCAUUGCGGUUGUUUUGCGUAAUCCUGGAGCAUGAUUUUGGCUUAGACCAAGCGGAGAACUCGCUGCUUUCUUGCUUUAUUCUUAACAAAUGCUAUGCAAACGCGUAGCGGUCACCGAUGUAAUAUUUGUUUCCGAAUCGACCUUUUAAAGCCUUUUUCUGUACUUGAAAUUUUAGCUUGACGAUCACUACUCGAAUCAUGUUUGUUUUGUAGAGGGCUUGUCAAAUAGUGUUGUGAUAGUUCAGUAAUUAUCUCUCUAGAACUAAUGUUUUUUUAAUUUGUACUUAAAUAACUUAACUUUGCUAAAGUUUUGGAUUGUUGAUGUAAUGCCAACUAUUAAUUCUUCAUAGUGUUUUAAAAUCAGUUUCUGAUUAAGAACUAUCUUGCCUGCUAUAUUCCACUUAUAGGAAAUAGGCAAAGAAAUGCAAUGAUUUCGUAAACAAGGUUAAUCUUUUAUUUGGAAGUAUCCAUGGUAGAUAAACUAUCAGUACAGUUCACGUUGACAUGUUGCAAAUUAUAGGAAUACACCAACUUGCAUUUAGUUACUGCAUCUUGUAAUGUUUGUGCGAGUCCUGCUGUUGUGCCAAUAGAACUCUAGUUUAUGAAAUUGAGUAAAUUGAAUUAAAAACAGUAAGGUCUCAACUUCUGAAUUUUAAGUAAACAAGUUUAAUUUGCUUGAUCUUUCAUUCUUUCUCCAGGCAUAAUUAUCAAAUAUUGUUCCUACUGAAUAAAACAAUUAUUAAUUUUCUCCAUUUUAUUUAUCUUUUAGCAACGAGUUAAGUUUAAAGGCAGUUCUAUGCAUAAGCUCCUCUUAUUGUUAUACAAUGCAGGGAUUGAAGUGCCUGAUCAGCAUUUUAAAUAGUUAGCAAAAAAUUUAGACCUCUAGUAAACUUGUCAGUUGUCACGGAUUUCUGGAUUUGUAUUUUCCUCAGCUUAGAAUCUAUAAUUUUAUGUUUUUAUCAUUUCUCUUUUCUCGCCAUAUGCAUUGAGCCUUCCUUUUCUGGCAUCUAUUGUAAGUUAAUUCUACAUGUAUGACACUGAACUACUAAGGUGGACAUGUUCUUGUAUCA